AUGUCAAUUACCUUCCAAUUAUGUCGCAACUUUAAAUCUUAUGGUCACACACUAUGUCAAUUACCCUCUAAUUUUGUCGCAAGUUUAAAUCUUAGUUGUUAGUCUUGUCACAAUGAUAUUCUAAUCAUUAAAAAAUCAUAAUUUGAAUGACAGAAUCACAAGUUUAAAUAGUUAUUUUCGAUAAUCAUUUUGUACUUUCAGUAAACUAAGCGAAACAAACAAAGUAACGAAGAAGUUUGAUGAAUUGAUUGAUACAAUAACAUUUGAAGUGUAUGAUCUUUCGUCAAAGGAAGAAGGAAAGUCUAGAUUUGAAGCUUGUGGAUUCUAACUUAAUUAUCGAACAUGCUGUCCAUUUUAGUUAUUGGUUUCAUAGUUAAAAUUUUAAAUAUAAUUUUAAAAAUAUUAAUAUAAAAUAGAAUUUAAGUAAAAGCUAUUAGAUUUUUUUGAAUCCGUACCUCAAACUCUAACUCCGCCUUAAUCAAAUGCAACAGUUGGUGAAUUUCAACUAUGCAAUUAAUUUUUUUUUAUGUUAGUAUUAUUUUAAUGUGCUAUUAUUCAUACAAAUAGUAGUCAAUUAUUCUCUGUUUCUUUUUCUUUUGCACAUCGUCAGGCCAGGUUUGAGGGGCCAUACCUUUGACAUUAACAAAGUACAAAGAUUGUGUGGAUUUGUAAAGUGCAAAUGUAAACCACUACAUUAAACGAUUAACCUCUCAACCUCAUACCAAAAUAAUACAGGACUUUUUCCCAUUUUUAGUCCAUUUUUAACUUAGUUCUCAAGGAAACUACAAUGCAACAACAACAACAACUAUCCAAUAUAGUCCCAUAAAGUGGGUAAGGAAACUACAAUAUAGAAAGAAGAAAAAAACAGCUAUGCAAUCUGUGGAAUUACUAGAGCGAGAAAAUUUAUUCACAUCCGGUAUUUAUAUUAAAUUAAUUAUUAUAUAAAAAAAGGGCAGUCUGAUGUACCAAGCUUCUGUUAUGCGUGAGAUCCGGAAAAGGGCCAGACCACAAGAGUUAUUGUAUGCAGUCUAACCCUGCAUUUCUAAAAGAGGAUGUUUCUGACAACAACUUUACCAAUUACGCCAAGACUCCCUUUCAAACUAACGAUUAUAUGCUUAAUGAUAAUAAACUAAUAUGGUUUGAUAUAAGCACAAGCUGUAAACAAUAUUUUCCCAGACUUCUUCACUACCAUUAUGAUAAUGUACUAUUACUGCCUAAAUGAUCAACUAAACACAUUACAGAGUAGGUUCAACAAAACUAAUGCCUUAAACUUUUUCUAUGGAUUUUGUUAUUGCAACUAAACAUUUUACCUAAACCAUUUCAUCUGCUCCACUUAAUAGGAAGCUUGUAACUAAACUAUUUAUACUCAGUUAGCCUACACUCAUUCAUCACCAACAAGCAUCUGCUCAAUUCUUCAUUUGCCUCUUCUCAUCAAUCAUCAUAUAGCAACAUUCACAAGCAAAAAAUGGUCAAAUUUUCCCAACUCUGCUCUAAAACAUUCCAAUUCACCUUUUGCAUUUUGCUAUUAACCCUAUCAUUUGACAUCGCUACUCCAGCGAGAAUCCUCGAUGAGGUGAGCUCAGAUGAACCUGUUGUUGCUCCUGUGGUGGCCCCGGCCACCACAUUGCCAAGUGGCCACUUUCCAGCCACAGUUACCGCUCCUGAUUCGAACUCGGAACCUAUAGAGGGUGAUGAUUCUUCUAUUCCUGCAAACACUGUGGCUCCUUCAGCUGAUUUUCCAACCGAACCCGAGCCUGAUACAGCUCCUGUCGUUUCCCCAUCUGCUCCAGUGACUCAUGCUGCUGAUGCAACAACAAACACUGGAGCAACACAUGUUACCAAUGAGGCACCAGAAGCCGCUGGUACGUCUGGUGCCACAGUGGCAAAUCCUAUUCCAGAGGGCCACUCAACGUUCUCAUUCUUCAUGCAUGACAUACUUGGCGGUACACACCCGUCAGGAAGAGUGGUCACUGGAAUUGUAGCCAACACGGAUGCCAACAAUUUACCUUUCUCAAAAGAAAACAACCAAGUCUUCCCAAUCGACGGUGGUGUUCCCCUCAACAACAUCAACAACAUUGUCAACAACAACAAUUAUCCUUUCCUAGUAGGCCUCAACGGACAACAACAAUCCAACACUGUCCUACAAAACACAGGCAACAACAACAUUGUCGACAGCGGGGACAACCAACCUUUUGUCACAGCCGGGCAACUCCCUACUGGCCUAUCCCUUCAACAACUCAUGUUCGGAUCAAUUACUGUUGUAGACAAUGAAAUAACAGAAGGACAUGAAUUGGGAUCAGCUAUUCUUGGUAGAGCACAAGGAUUUUACUUGACGAGUUCUUCGGAUGGGACGAGUCAUACUUUAGCUUUAACAACAUUGUUCCAUGGGCAGCAUGAACAUGAAGUGGAUGAUACUAUUAGUUUCUUUGGUAUUCACAGGACCGCGACGCCAAUUUCUCACAUUGCUAUUAUUGGAGGUACUGGAAAAUAUGAGAAUGCUAAAGGGUAUGCUACAAUUGAAACUCUGCCUCAUGUGGAUCAACAUACAACUGAUGGUGUUGAAACUAUUACACACUUCACUGUGUACAUUACCCCUUAAAAAAGUGUUUGUUCUAAGAGAAGGGGCUUAUUUAUUAUGUUUGGUUUUCUGUAUUUCUGAUUCUUCACACUUCGGUUUGAUGAACUUUUCAUGUAAUUGUAUGGUUAAUUCUGAUUAAUGUUAUGAUAUAUAUUAAAGCUUUUAAUUUACUUGGUCCAAAAGAAGAGGAACUUCGGGCGUAAAUGGUAAAAUUAUUGUCAUGUAACCAGGAGGUCACGGGUUCAAAUAGCAAAACCAACCUCUUCUAGAAAUCUAGACCCUUGUGGUCUGAUUCUUCCUCUGAUCUCGUCCAUCGUAGUGUACCGGGCUGCAUUUUUUUUAAUCUACAAUUGUCGAAUUUGUGAUUUGGCUGUCAAUAAUUGCUUACCUACAAGUUUAGAAUAUAAGAAAGUGUUCAGUGUUAAAGAAUAGCGAAAGGUAAUGACUAAUUUUUAGUUAAGAAAUUGAUAUGAUUUCUAAUUUUACAAGGAUCUUACGAAAAUGUGAUAACAGAUUUAAGAGUUUUUGUUACUUGGGUUUUGCAUAAUAUUCGUACAUUAUAAAUCAUAAUAUAACAACUAAAAUUAGGAAUAAUAUGUUAGCAAUAUAUACUAUUAAUCAUGAGUUUGAUUUAGAUAUACUCCCUCCGGUCCAAAAUAAGUGAGUUUUUGGCCCUUUUUUGUGGUCCAAAAUAAGUGAUUUUUCCAGAUUUCAAGAAUGAAAGUUCUUCCUUGAUCCCGUCCAUAAUGAAAGCUUAGUGUAUCCGGCUGCAUUUUUUUUAAUCUACAAUUGUCGAAUUUGUGAUUUGGCUGUCAAUAAUUGCUUACCUACAAGUUUAAAAUAUAAGAAAGUGUUCAGUAUUAAAGAAUAGCGAAAGGUAAUGACUAAUUUUUAGUUAAGUAAUUGAUAUGAUUGCUAAUUUUACAAGGAUCUUACGAAAUUGUGAUAACAGAUUUAAAAGUUUUUGUUACUUUGGGUUUUGCAUAAUAUUCGUACAUUAUAAAUCAUAAUAUAACAACUAAAUUAGGAAUAAUAUGUUAGGGAUAUAUACUAUUAAUCAUGAGUUUGGCUUAGAUAUACUCCCUCCGGUCCAAAAUAAGUGAGUUUUUGGUCCCUUUUUGUGGUCUAAAAUAAGUGAUUUUUCCAGAUUUCAAGAAUGAAUUAAUUAUUUUUUUCCUACGUUAUCCUUGGAAUAAAUAGUGUUGGAAUAUGUGUUAGGAGUGUUUAUAUGAGAUAGUAAAGGUUAAUAUAGUCAAUUUUAUUGCUAAUUAAUGCUACAAGGUGGAUUCUUAAUAUAUGUGAAAAUAUCCAAAAAAUCACUUAUUUUGGAACGGAGGGAGUAGUAUUUAAUAUGAAGCAAUUGUUUAUCUAGUUUUAAUAAAGUUUUAAAUAAAUCAUAUAUUAGUCUAUGUCCUUUGCUAUAUAGUAGAUGAUUUAGUAUAUACACAGAAAGAUUAAAUCAUCGGUUCUUAUAAGUAUAAAGUUUGACACAAUCUAAUGAUAGAAUUGGACAAACCAUCAGGAAUGAUUGUAGCAUAAGAUGAAAUAUAAUUUAUUUUGAUUAUGAGAAUGGUUUAAUUCCAACUUCUUGUGCUAGUAUAUUUUGUAUGUAUUGAAUAGACCAAGUAGAGAUAAGUAUUUUAUACUGACUUAAUAAAAUAAACUCUCUAGCCAUUAAAUGUNNNNNNNNNNNNNNNNNNNNNNNNNNNNNNNNNNNNNNNNNNNNNNNNNNNNNNNNUAAUAAAAUAAACUCUCUAGCCAUUAAAUGUACUUAUACUCUUAAUCUUGAUAUAAUUAUUAUUAGCUGUGUAUAUUAUUAUUAUUUUAAUUUAUUAAAAUACGAGAUUCUUUCGUGGGUCAAUAUGCCUGGUAAAUUGGAUAAUAAUAAUGUACAUUGGCGAAAUAAUAGUUAGAUGAUGGAAUCCAUAUCUCGGUUUAGAGAUUGAUGAUACACCUUUAUGAAAGCUUAUAAGUUUUCAUGUGUAAACCUGGUAGAUGGAUUUUGUAUCUGAUACAUGAAAUAAGUUAAGUGAAAGUCUAAAGGAAAUAAUUAAUAAAUUAAAUCGUCAAUAAUUUAAUUUAAUUGAUUAGUAGCUGAAUCUUAAUAUGGGGAUUUAAAUAAGAUUUAAUGGAUGAAUAUAAAAUUGAAUAAGGAGUGCAAUUACAAAUUCUAAGUGGAAUAAUUCGUAAUCAAUUAUGGUGGAUAUUAAUUUUGAAAUUACAAAUUAAUUCCAUAAUUGGAAGCCUUGUUAAUUAAAUUAUGUGGUCCUACUGUGCCUAGAUAAUAAGAAAUAAAGGAAUCAUUUUUCUGGUGGAAAAGAAAACCCAACAGGUUUUGGAAAAUGGUUUUAACCCUUAAAACUUGUGCUAUAAAUACAUAAGGUUUUCCACCUAGAGAGAUGAGCACAUGGUGGCCGAAUUUCAGCCUUUUUCCUUUGAAAAUUUUGCCCACAUGAAAUUGUUAUUUUCAGGUAUUAUUUGGGUAACACAGUAGAAGACCGUGGAACGUUCGAAGACUGUGAUCGUGCGGGUGGUGAAGAAUUUAUUGAGUUGAUGUGGAAUUGAAAGCUCACGUGAUAAAGGAGCUUUGUUCACGCUUUAAGAAGUAACCCGUGAAAUCCUGUUUAUGGUAGUUGUUUAGAUUACAUGUGAUUUUAAUACUAGGAUUGCUUUCACUGCUUAUUAUAAUUCAUCAAUUGGUAUAAGAGCUCACUCACAUCUAAUUAAAUAACUAAGUUGUUUUAUGAAACAAGAAUAUCGUGUUUAUGUGCGUUUUUAAUUACAUAUAUAUGUGGUUUUUUGAAAACUACACUACUGUUUUGUGAAUUAAAUUUGUAAAAAAUUUAGAUUAUUCUUGUAGUAAUGAGAUAUCUGUUUUCUAUUGAUAUUUGAUUAGGAUAAUUUGGAUAUUUUUUUGCAAAACCUUAGAAAAACACAAAACUUGAUUUUGAUCGAAUUGCCGGUAAUUUUGGAGGUUAGCGAACAUGACGAACUCCGAUUGAGCUGAAAUUUUGUAAGUACAUCGGAGGCGACGUGGUGAGAAAAACUAAUUGCUUUAGCAGGGAAUCAUGGCGCGUUUUAAUAUCAUUUGUACUGUAUUUUGGACGUUUUUCUAUUUUCAAAAAAUUAUUUCUUAAUAAUUUUAGUUUGGUUUUAAUUCAAUGAUGAUGGGGAAAACUCCCCUGGUCUCCAUGAUUAAAUGCUAAUUAUUUACACAUUGGCUAUUAGUAAAUAUACGUAUUGUUGUAUUAAAUUCAAUAAUAGAGGUGUAGGGUUUUAUUGACUAGGUCUUACAAGGUAUAUUGAUAUUGUGUGAUGAUAUAAUUAUUUUUUAAGAAAGUAAAAUCCUCUAUAUCCUAGAUGACUAAAAAUUGGAGCGUUUGGCAUUCUGUGCAUAAAAAAUUCUCAAAUUUUAGUUUAUGUUUUCAUGCCCUACGUGAUUACUAGUCUUGGAUUUUUGAUGAAAAAUUUGUUCUCUGGUUGGAGGCUGUAAUUAAGUGAAAUAUGAUAAUAUUUUUUAUAAGUUUAUAUUAUUGGCAUGUCUUUUAAGCCGUGGUCCAUAAUCUGUAAUAAAAUAAUUAUAUGAGCUACAUGUGUCUUCACUUGUAAAUUGAGAAUUUUGUGAGUAAUAAAUAGUUGCCACUAAAGUGAUUUGUUUAUUUGGACUCAUGAAUAUUUUUUAAUAAAUUUGUACAUGUGAAAUUGUGUCUAUUCAUGGAUUGAGCAUUAUGAUCAAUAAGUAGGAUCUACAAAAUGGUCUAUUUAUUUGAGUCAUUGAAAUCUGCUUAAUGUACCAUGUGAAAAUUAUCCUUGAUAAAUCUACAUUAGUGGUGGAGGUUCUUAACUAUAAAAAGGAGUUUUAACUUUGGGUACUAGUGAGACCACCUCCACCCAUGAGAAGAGAUAUUAAGUUUUUUCCCGAACGAUACAAAACAUAAUAUCUUAGGUUCUUGUAUAUUUUAUAAAAGGAUAAUUUAUUGAAAAAAGUGAUAUUAUGUAUCAUAGAAAUAGGAAGACCAUAAUAUAUGGCUUGAGCUCAUAGUAUAAUUAUAAGGAAAAUGAAAAUCAAUAUCAUAUUUAUUUUAAUUCAUGAAAUUACUUAAAACGGUUAUUUUUCUGACUUUGGUUACAGGCUGAUGGUCAUGAAUUUGACGGACUCCGAUUGACCUGAAACUUGGUAGGUUCAUCAAAAAUGAUCCAUUGAGAAAAACUUACGGCUAUGCAGUAAAUCAUGUUGUUUUCGGUAUUUUGAGAUCGUUUAGAUGAAUUUUCAAGCAGUUUAUUAAAUAGAAUUUAUUAUAAAUAUGAAAAAUUAUUCUUUAUAUAUCGGUUAUAUUUGUGUUAAAUCUGAAACAUGAUGAUUUAACUUAAUAUGUUGUCGUGCGCCCUUUUUCCUUCACAGGGAGAAGUCCGGGUUUCGACAUUCACGGGGUAUAAUGACUCAUUUCCUUUUAAGAAUUCGGUAUUUCAAGAGUCGCCACCUAACGAAUCAAGGUGCAUCGGGGAACCUAGAGUAAUUAACUCUUGGGUUGGUUUGCAUUAUUAGAGAUUAGGGUAAGGCUCGAAGUAACCUCAAGGGGAAGGUGUUAGGAACCCCUCUUGGUCCACAACUGUGGGUCCCGACCAAACUUAUAUUUACAAAUUUGUCCAUACAAAUAGUUGAAUCAAAUAGGUUGUUUGCAAAGCACAUUGAGCAAUUUAUGUAGUGAAAUAAAGACUUGAACAAAUUAUAUAAAAAAAGUUUAAAUAAGGAGAGGAUUUGGGAUAAGGAGAGGUCCUAGGUUAUUUAUCCUAUAGGAUCGCCCCACGCAAUGUCCAGUGAACACUCCUCAAUGAGGGGCUACAUGUGACAUUAACGCGUCGUUAUUAAAUUCCAUGUCUAUCCUUCACAUCCCCUUAUUGGUUAUGCAAAGCGAGUGUUUGGUCUCUGAUUCCUAUUUCGUGUUGCUACUCAUCCCCUUUAAUAGUCCCGGAGAGUGUCAGGACCUCUUAUUAUGGGUAGUACUAGACGUACCCCUAAGGUUUAUAAAGGUAAAAACUCUAAGGCGACAGUUAAAAUAUUUAGGACUUUCACAUAAUGGGAGCAAUUAAGAGGCUCACAGUUUCCUCCUAAAACAUACAUACAAGCAGCAUGUCUCAAGCACAAUUAAGGUCUUUAUUAAUUAAAGUCCUAAAGCAGGAUUCUCUAUGUGAAUAUGCAGGAGCAGACCAAACUUUAUACCUAGAAGUUAUAACUUAGCAUUUGCCUAAGGACUUCUUUUAAAAGCUAUGAGGAUUAGAAACGUUAAACAUCAGAAACAACUUCAAAGAAUGCAGAUUUUGGGAAUGUCCUAAGACUUGCCUAUAUGUAGUAUAUUGUGUUUUUGUUAAUGCAGAAGCAAACAGGUUCUCAAAAUAGACCUUUUAAUACAUAUAUGCAGGAUGUCUAAUGAGAUUAAAGCAAUUUUGAAAUAACUGAUUUCAGGAAAUAUUGACACUUAAUAAGACUAGUUUAAGAAGUAAACUAGGCGAAAUGAAAUUGAUUUAUUAGGCUAAUUAUAUUAUCAGACAUAACUGCGAAUGAAAAUUCCAAUAGGCAUGGCAUCUAGGCUCAUUACAAGUUUUAGUUAAUUUACGGUAACAUGAGGAAAGACUUAUUAGAACUAAAUCGGAAUCGAGUCCUAUAUGAAUGGUAUGUAUACUUGAAUUUGAUUUAAGACAUGAUGGUUUGGAACCUAUAAACAUGAUCUCUAACAUUGGAAGUGAAACCUUAUAGGCGUGAUUUCUAUUUGAUGCAAACGAAAUUAGAGGUGAAAUUCUAUGGACAUGAUUUCUAUUAUGCAAACAAUGAUUAUAUGCUUAAUCAUAAUAAACUAAUAUGGUUUGAUAUAAGCACAUGCUGUAAACAAUAUUUUCCCAGACUUCUUCACUACCAUUAUGAUAAUGUACUAUUACUGCCUAAAUGAUCAACUAAACACAUUACAGAGUAGGUUCAACAAAACUAAUGCCUUAAACUUUUUCUAUGGAUUUUGUUAUUGCAACUAAACAUUUUACCUAAACCAUUUCAUCUGCUCCACUUAAUAGGAAGCUUGUAACUAAACUAUUUAUACUCAGUUAGCCUACACUCAUUCAUCACCAACAAGCAUCUGCUCAAUUCUUCAUUUGCCUCUUCUCAUCAAUCAUCAUAUAGCAACAUUCACAAGCAAAAAAUGGUCAAAUUUUCCCAACUCUGCUCUAAAACAUUCCAAUUCACCUUUUGCAUUUUGCUAUUAACCCUAUCAUUUGACAUCGCUACUCCAGCGAGAAUCCUCGAUGAGGUGAGCUCAGAUGAACCUGUUGUUGCUCCUGUGGUGGCCCCGGCCACCACAUUGCCAAGUGGCCACUUUCCAGCCACAGUUACCGCUCCUGAUUCGAACUCGGAACCUAUAGAGGGUGAUGAUUCUUCUAUUCCUGCAAACACUGUGGCUCCUUCAGCUGAUUUUCCAACCGAACCCGAGCCUGAUACAGCUCCUGUCGUUUCCCCAUCUGCUCCAGUGACUCAUGCUGCUGAUGCAACAACAAACACUGGAGCAACACAUGUUACCAAUGAGGCACCAGAAGCCGCUGGUACGUCUGGUGCCACAGUGGCAAAUCCUAUUCCAGAGGGCCACUCAACGUUCUCAUUCUUCAUGCAUGACAUACUUGGCGGUACACACCCGUCAGGAAGAGUGGUCACUGGAAUUGUAGCCAACACGGAUGCCAACAAUUUACCUUUCUCAAAAGAAAACAACCAAGUCUUCCCAAUCGACGGUGGUGUUCCCCUCAACAACAUCAACAACAUUGUCAACAACAACAAUUAUCCUUUCCUAGUAGGCCUCAACGGACAACAACAAUCCAACACUGUCCUACAAAACACAGGCAACAACAACAUUGUCGACAGCGGGGACAACCAACCUUUUGUCACAGCCGGGCAACUCCCUACUGGCCUAUCCCUUCAACAACUCAUGUUCGGAUCAAUUACUGUUGUAGACAAUGAAAUAACAGAAGGACAUGAAUUGGGAUCAGCUAUUCUUGGUAGAGCACAAGGAUUUUACUUGACGAGUUCUUCGGAUGGGACGAGUCAUACUUUAGCUUUAACAACAUUGUUCCAUGGGCAGCAUGAACAUGAAGUGGAUGAUACUAUUAGUUUCUUUGGUAUUCACAGGACCGCGACGCCAAUUUCUCACAUUGCUAUUAUUGGAGGUACUGGAAAAUAUGAGAAUGCUAAAGGGUAUGCUACAAUUGAAACUCUGCCUCAUGUGGAUCAACAUACAACUGAUGGUGUUGAAACUAUUACACACUUCACUGUGUACAUUACCCCUUAAAAAAGUGUUUGUUCUAAGAGAAGGGGCUUAUUUAUUAUGUUUGGUUUUCUGUAUUUCUGAUUCUUCACACUUCGGUUUGAUGAACUUUUCAUGUAAUUGUAUGGUUAAUUCUGAUUAAUGUUAUGAUAUAUAUUAAAGCUUUUAAUUUACUUGGUCCAAAAGAAGAGGAACUUCGGGCGUAAAUGGUAAAAUUAUUGUCAUGUAACCAGGAGGUCACGGGUUCAAAUAGCAAAACCAACCUCUUCUAGAAAUCUAGACCCUUGUGGUCUGAUUCUUCCUCUGAUCUCGUCCAUCGUAGUGUACCGGGCUGCAUUUUUUUUAAU
rnacentral:lncRNA from 1 species